rnacentral:lncRNA from 1 species
ACUCGCUUGCUUGCGCUGGGCUUCAGGGCGCCCGGGUGAGUUUUUUUCUCUCCCUCUCGUUUUUUUUUUUUUCCCAGGCUCUCGCGGGUUUCCCCUGCCAGGGAAUCCACUCGCUGUAGUUUUCUAGGGCUCUGGUCCCAGUCCUUUCUGAAGCGCGCUUGCAGGCUGUCUUCCUCAGUCGCCCUCUCCCUGGGUGCUGUUUUGCUGGGCAGCAUCCCAUGCUAGGCUCGGCAGACAUUCUGGCGGUUGGGUUCGGCCCUUACAGCGCUAACACCUGCAGAGUCGAGGCUCCUGCCAAAAGGCAGAAAGCAAAGGAGGAAAAAAUUCAUUGUCAUAAUAGCGAAAAUGAUAAACCUCAGCUGUUUAAGAGAAGAAUGUCUGAGUAGCUGUUGAUUAUCUCCCAUAAUCACAAAACAACUUUUUUUUAAAAAGAAUUUGCACUGUCUGUUAAAACGCGGUCAUUGUUUUGCUUUCAAAUCGAACUUCACGACAGUUAGCAACUUCAAGAACGCUUCCAAAUGGAUAAAUCUUUCCAGAAGAUUUCUUGCUUCAAAACAGCUGCAUUUUUGGAAGAAAGUCCACAACUGACAACUAAGCAAAACCCUCCUGGUGGAUAGCAUAAAUCUGCUUUGUUGAAGCUGCUCAUUUGUCUGAUCUAUGAGUCCAGAAGAUGCAAACUCCCUUCCCAGCUUAUGCAAAAAUACUUCCAGUAAAAACAAGCCCUUUGGCCCUUUUCUUUUGUCAGUCCAGAUUUCAGCAUGUUCUUCGCUUUGUUAUUCAUCAUUUUAUGUAUUUGGACCCAUCCUCAAACAGACUUUAAACCGUUUAAAGGCAAGGAGGGACUCUUUCGUAAACCUUUAAUCCCCUGGCCCAGCUGAGUAGAUGCACAGUGUCUUUUGAUGAUGGUGAUAUGGAAUGAUUAAUAACCACACAAGGCAUUCGGUUGGUCAAGUCACUGUUUAUUGGCUCAAAAUAAUCCUUGGUUUCUGUAUGUCUACAGCUCACUUCCUAAACAGUUAAAUCCGGAGAAGUCUAAUAGAUAAUAGUUGGUGAUCAUAAAUAUAAAUAACCAAUACAUUAGAAUGUGUAGUCAAAAUAGGAAUACUUGCUUUUCACUUACUUCCCACGGGUCGCUGCUGGUGGUAGUCAACACAAAUAAAAAUUUGAACUCAUUUUGUUAUUCAUCUAAAAUGAGAAACUCGGUGAAACAUUGAUUUUCUAAAAUUGCUGCAUAUUUAAAUGUGAUUAUAAUUGCUUUUUAGCAUUUUAAAAUUGUAACAUCGAUACCAAAUGCUUAAGAAUCUAAAGAAUAGUCUAUUGGGGCUGGCCUAUUUUGUGUAAAAUGGUCUGUAUCAUAAUGGAUGACUGAUUAUCCCAUCCACAUUAUUUGGAUUCACUUAAUACUAGGUUUUAACGUUAGGAGAAUAAAACCCUCAAGAAACCUAACAUAGAUUUGUAUAUUUAGUUUUCUCCUUCCUUAUCAUCUUCCACCAGACUUACAGGUGUUCCACCUGCUUGUAGUUUCGGUAAUAAUACCAGCUGGCGGUGGUUCCUAACUCUAGCUACACUUUAAAAUUACCUCGUGCAUUUAAAAAAAAAAUGCAGUUGUUUAGGUUCUUCCCCUAGAUAUUUUAAUUUACAAGGUUUGGGAUGUGGCCUGGGCACCGAUUUUUUUAACUUUUUAUUUGAAUGUAGACUUACAGGAAGUUGCAAAGAUAGUACAGAGAGGUCUGAUAGAGCCUCCACUGUUGGUUACAUCCCGCAUAGCUAGAGCACAAUAAUAAAGCCAGGACAUUGACACUGAGAUAAAAUGUGCCUGUGAUUCUGUGUCACCUUAUCCCUGAAGACUCUUGUAAUCAUUACCACAAUCAAAAUACAAACUAUUUCAACACCACGAAGAUCUCUCUCAUACAGUCCCUUUAUGGUCGUCCCUUUCUUUCCCCCACACCAUCCCUAACCCUUUGCAACCAUCAGUCUGUUCUCCAUUUCUAUAAUUUUGUCGUUUGGGGAAUGUUUUAUAAAUUGGUCCUCACAGCUUGUGACCUUCUAAGAUUAGCUCACCAUCCCCCCCACCCCCCCACCCCACCCAACUCAGCAGAAUGCCCUAGAGAUUUAUCCAAGUUAUUGCAGGUAUUUCUAGUUUGUUCCUUUCUGUUACUGAGUUCUACACUAUGGGUGUAACACAGUUUGUUUAAUCAUUCAGCAUUCACCUAUCAUACAUUUUGGUUCCUUCUUUUUUUGGGCGGGGGGAGUGCCUAUUACAAAUAAAACUGUCUUGAAAAAUUGCUUGCAGGUUUUUCUGUGGACCUAAAUUUUCAUUUCUCUGGGAUAAAUGUCCAGGAGUGUGAUUGCUGGGUCAUAUGGUAAGUAUGUGUUUAAUUUUUAAAGAAACUGCUGAACUAUUUUCCAGAAAUGUGGUACUAUUUUACAUUCCCAGCAGCCAUAUAUGAGAGAUCCAGUUUUUCCACAUCCUUACCAGUAUUUUGUAUUGUCACUAUUUUUUUACUUUUACUGUUCCGAUUAGGUGUGCAGUGAUACCUCACUCUGGUCUUAAUUUGCAUUUUCCUAAUGACUAGGGAUGUUGAUCAUUUUCUCAUGUCUUUGCCAUACACAUAUCCUCUUCAGUGAAAUCCCUCUUCGUGUCAUUUUCUUAUUUUCUUGAUUUGUUCUGUUACUGUUGAGUUUUGAAGGUUCUUUAAAUUAUAGACAUGAGUCCUUUAUCAGUUACAUCAGCAGUCCUCAACCUUUUUGGCUUCAGGGACAAGUUUCGUGGAAGACAGUUUUUUCCACGGAAGUGGGGGUGGUGGGGGAAAUGGUUUCCAGAUGGAACUGUUCCACUUAAGAUCAUCAGACAUUAGAUUCUCAUAAGGAGCAUGCAAACUAGAUCCCUCGCAUUCGCAGUUCACAAUAGGGUUCGCUCUCCUGUGAGAAUCUGAUGCCCUGGCUGAUCUGACAGGAGACAGAGCUCAGGUGGUGAGGCUGGCUCAGGAGGUGCUUAACUCCUGCUGUGUUGCCAGCUUCCUAACAGGCCAUUGACCUGUACCAGUCUGAGGCCCAGGACUUGGGGACCCCUGAGAGAUGUGGUUUGCAAAUAGUUUUUCCCAGUGUUUUUGCUGUCUUUUGGAUCUUUUGGGCCACAUCCGGUGGCUCACGCCUGUAAUCCCAGCACUUUGGGAGACUUAGGCGGGUGAAUCACCUGAGUCGGGAGUUCGAGACCAGGCUGACCAGCAUGGAGAAACUCCGUCUCUACUAAAAAUACAAAAAUUAGCCGGGCCUGAUGGCGCAUGCCUGUAAUCCCAGCUACUCGGGAGGCUGAGGCAGGAGAGUUGCUUGAAUCUGGGAGGCGGAGGUUGCAGUGAGCCAAGAUCGCGCAGUUGUACUCCAGCCUGGACAACAAGAGCAAAACUCCAUCUCCCCAAAAAAAAAAAAAAAAAAAAAAAAAAAAGGAUCUUUUGGAGAGAAAAAGUUUUUAAUUUUAAUAAAAUCCAAGUUUUUAAUUUUUUUUCUUUAACUUUUAGGUUUGGAGUACAUGUGCUAGUUUGUUAUAUAAGAAAUAAUGCAUCAUGGGGAGUUGGCAUAUAGAUUAUUUCAUCACUAGGUAAUAAGCACAGUACCUGAUGGGUAGUUUUUCAAUCCACCCCCUCCUCCCACUCUAUACUCAAGUAGGACCCAGUGUAUAAAAGUAUAGUUGACUUUUGUAUGUUGAUCCUUCUGUGACUUUGCUGAACUUAUUGGCUCUAGGAGUUUUGUUGUUUUGGGGUUUUUUGUUUUUGAAGGUUUCUUGGAUUUUUUUUUUUUUUUUUUUUUUUUUUUACAACGUAGGGAAACCUGUCAUCUGCAAAUAGCAACAGUUUUAGUUCUUCCUUGCAUUUCCUUUUCUUGCCUUAUUGUGCUGGCUAGAACUUCCAAUAUUGUGUUGUGGUGAGGUGGGACAUCCUUGUUUUGUUCCUGAGCUUAGGGAGAAAGCAUUCAGUCUUUUUUUUUUUUUUUUUUUUUUUUUUUUGAGAUCAAGUCUUUCUCUCUCACCCAGGCUGGAAUGCAGUGUGUGAUCUCAGCUCACUGCAACCUCUGUCUCCCGGAUUCAAGUGAUUCUCCCACCUCAGCCUCCCAAGUAGCUGAACUACAGGUGUGUGCCACCACGCCUAGCUAAUUUUUGUAUUGUUAGUAGAGAUGGGGUUUUGCCAUGUUGGCCAGGGUGGUCUGGAACUCCUGACCUCAGGUGAUCUGCCCAUCUCGGCCUCCCAAAGUGCUGGGAUUACAGCCACCAUGCCAGGCCAGCAUUCAGUCUUUCGUAUUAAGUAUAAUAUUAGUUGUAGGGUUUUUUUUUCUUCAAGUUUUUAAAAAGUCAGUUUGAGGAAGUUCCCUGCAUUCCCAGUUUUCUGAGAAUUUGUAUUAUGAAUGGAUGUUGAAUUUUGUUAAGUACUUUUUCUGCAUCAACUGAUGAAUCAUGAUUUGUUUCCCUUUAGCUUGUGAAUAUGGUAGAUUAUUAAUAUAUUGAUUGAUUUUUGAAUGUUAAAUCAGUCUUUCAUCCCUAGGAUGCUAGCUCAUGGUAUAUAAUUCUGUGUUGAUAUAGUGCUGAAGGCCAUUUGCUAAUAUUUUGUUGAUUGUUGCACUUAUAUUAACGAAGGAUAUCAGUCUGUAGUUUCUGUCUCUGUCUCUGUUUAUCUCUGUCUCCCUGUCUCUCUCUCUCUCAUGCAAUCUUUGGUUGGUUUGGAUAGCAGGAUAAUAUUGGCUUCCUAAAAUAAAUUGGGAAGUGUUCAUGCCUCUUCUAUUUUUGGGGAAAGUAUAUGUAUAAUUGGUGUUAAUUCUUCUUUAAACAUUUGUUAGAAUAGUGUGGUAAAACAAUCUGGCGGGCCCUGGAGUUUUCUUUUUCUGUAAUUUAAAAAUUAUGAAUUCAGUUUUCUCAAUAAAGUGCUAUUUAAAUGAUCUAUUUCAUAUUGUGUGAGUUGGGAUAAUGUGUGCUUUUUGAGGAAUGGGGUCAUUUUAUCUAUUGUCUAAUUUUGUCUAAUUUAUGUGGUAUUUACUCAUUAUCCCUUUGAUAUCUGCAGGAUCUGUAGUAAUAUCCCUGCUUUCUUUCCUAAUAUUAUGUUUUUUUCUCCUUUUUAAUUUGUCAGUCUUGAUUGGGAUUUGUGCAUUUUAUUGAUUUUUUUUUUUUUUCCAAAGAACCAUCUUUUACUGAUUUUCUGUUUCCAAUUUCACUGAGUUUUGCUUUUCUCUUUAUUAUUCCCUCUCUCUGCUUUCUUUGGGUUUUUCUUUUCCUUUUCUAUGCUCUUGAGGUAUAAUCUUAGAUUUUAAUUUGAGAUUUUUUUUGCUUUUUAAUGUAAGCUUUUAGUUCUAUAAGUUUCCCUCUUAGCAGUGUUUUUGCUGCAUCCACAAAUUUUGAUAUGUUGUGUUUUUAUUUUCAUUCAGUUCAGUGUAUGUUUUGAUUUCCACUUAGACUUCCUCUUUGAGCUAUGGAUUAUUUUAUAGGGAAUUUAGUUUCCAAGUGUUGGGUUAUUUUCCUAUUAUCUUUCUGUUACUGAUUUCGAC